rnacentral:misc_RNA from 1 species
GAGACUUUCCGAUUUCAGACCCUGCUCUGUUCUCGCCUGCUUCUUCAAUACCCAAAACCUCAUAACACAUCUCCAACGAACCAUGAAACAAAAGGUGGUGAUCAAGGUUUCCCUGAAUGGCCCCAAGUCCCGCUCUAAAGCCUUGAAGAUUGCAGUCAGCGUUUCAGGUGUGGAAUCAGCAGCUCUAGGAGCGCAAGAUAAGAGCCAGAUAGAGGUGGUAGGGGAUGUCGACGCUGUAGAGCUAACAACUCAGCUCAGAAAGAACGUUGGCCACGCAGAGCUAGUAAGCGUGACCGCUGCGGGAGAGAAGAAAGAGGAGGUCAAAGUGCAGCAAUUGGCCUGGCCUUAUGUGGGAGGGGUUCCUCAUCCAUAUAUGUAUGAGCUUAGGCACCCAGUAGACUAUUACCAGGAUCCCCCUUGUUCCAUCAUGUAAUUGAGAACAGAGACACAGAGUCCUUGGCUGACGAUUGAGGCUCCAGUGUAAUUUUCUUGUAGAAAUCCAGGGAUUGGUUCGUCUUUUUUCCUGACGUAAUCUAAAUUGUAACUGCUGUGUGAAUUUUGCCUUCUUGUUUUUUCUUCUUCUUCUUCUUUCUAAAUUUUUAAUUUUUCUUUUCCACAAUAAUUAUGAUCUAAAUUAUAAUAAAGUAGGAGACUGGAUAGCAAAUUCUGGGAUUCAGUUGCCUUCUAAUUAGUUUAAUAUAAAUGUUGCUUUU